rnacentral:rRNA from 1 species
AACGAACGCUGGCGGCAUGCCUAACACAUGCAAGUCGAACGAGACCUUCGGGCCUAGUUGCGCACGGGUGCGUAACGCGUGGGAACCUGCCCGUAGGUUCGGUAUAACUCCCCGAAAGGUGUGCUAAUACCGGAUAAUGUCUUCGGACCUAAGAUUUAUCGCUUUUGGAUGGGCCCGCGUUGGAUUCGCUAGUUGGUAGGGUAUAAGCCUAGCAAGGCGAGGUUCCAUAGCUGGUCUGAUAGGAUGAUAUACCACACUGGGAAUAAGACACGGCCCAGACUGCUACGCAAGGGAGGAGUGGGGAAUAUUAGGGAAGGAGCGAAGGCCUGACAAAGCAAUGCCGGGGAAGUGGUGAAGGCCUUAGGGUUGUGAAGCUGUUUUAGCCGAGGUGAUAAUGACAGUACCGGGAGAAUAAGCACCGGCUAACUACGUG